AGAUCUACCCCAUGUUUUGUGGUCACUUUUGUAGUGGAAGUCACUUCAAUAGACUGUGUAAGCAAUCGAGUAUUCUUUUAAGGAAACCUAAAGUGAAUGUAUACAUGGACACUGUUAUCAAAAAUAUAUCAAUAUAAAUCAAGGUAGUUUUGACAUGACCAAACUGAAAACAAUUGCAGUUUGUUGUUAUUUUAUAUUCUCCUUUUGUUAUAUCAUUUUGUUGUAAUCUUUGAUGCAAAUGAUUGUUGUAUUAUAGUUUAGUGACAAAAGAAUAUCAGAAUUAUUGUAAA